UGAGACCCUUUUGCCAGAAGCUGGACC
rnacentral:piRNA from 1 species